UGGGGAAUUUUCCGCAAUGGGCGAAAGCCUGACGGAGCAAUACCGCGUGAGGGAGGAAGGCUCUUGGGUUGUAAACCUCUCUUCUCAGGGAAGAAAAAAAUGACGGUACCUGAGGAAUAAGCAUCGGCUAACUCCGUGCCAGCAGCCGCGGUAAUACGGAGGAUGCAAGCGUUAUCCGGAAUGAUUGGGCGUAAAGCGUCCGCAGGUGGCUAUGUAAGUCUGCUGUUAAAGAAUGAGGCUCAACCUCAUCAAAGCAGUGGAAACUACAAGGCUAGAGUGCGUUCGGGGUAGAGGGAAUUCCUGGUGUAGCGGUGAAAUGCGUAGAUAUCAGGAAGAACACCGGUGGCGAAAGCGCUCUACUAGGCCGCAACUGACACUGAGGGACGAAAGCUAGGGGAGCGAAUGGGAUUAGAUACCCCAGUAGUCCUAGCCGUAAACGAUGGAUACUAGGCGUGGCUUGUAUCGACCCGAGCCGUGCCGGAGCUAACGCGUUAAGUAUCCCG
rnacentral:rRNA from 1 species